UCUGAGGAGAGGGAAGGAUCUCUGGCUGCUGAAAGAAAAGUAGAGGAUCACAAAGCAACGCCCCCGACUCCAUGUACGCAGACUUUGAUUAACUGGGUCAAUUUUGACAUAUUACAGGAUUAUGAAAACAGGAGAAGCCAAGGUGUAGCACAGUAAAUAUUAACCUUAACAAUGAUACAGUGCAACAAGUGCGUGUCAAGCGUUGGGAAUUGCGCGCUUUCCUCUGUUCAUGCUGUUUGAUGUACCAACAAAGCCCUGGCCAGCGUCUUUUGAUUAUGUGCUAAUGUAGCUCCGAGGCAACAUGUUUUACUGUGCGCAUGAAUGAGUGCUACGUCGAGAAGAUCCGGAAGAUGUUGACUUGUGUUGAUGUGUAACAUUAUACUGCAUUGGAUUAACCUCUUUGAAAUAUAAUUGUUUUUGGUUACCUUUGUAAAAAAAAAGAAAAGAAGAGCAGUGAGAGUGGCAGCCAAAGUAUUCAGCGAGUGCUCGUGCCAGGAUCCAGGGUGCUAUAUUUAGAUUCAAAACACAUCGCUUUUGUGUAAAAGGUCUAUUUCUCACAAACAGCGUUUUGGUGACUGUGAAUGGUGUUAUUUUUCCUCUUUCACUGAUAAUGAAUAGGCUGACACUGAAUCAUUGCUACGCUUGCAAAAAGAUCAGGCUGUUUGUUCUAGUCCUAGCCCCAGCUGCUGCCCUUUCUCCCCUGAACUCAACAACAAAAGCAGAUUACAUAGAUAAGUAAUUUAGCUAAUGAAUAUUUCAUAUGCUAUUAUUCCAAGCAGGUAGUGAAUUAUGCAGUUGUCAAUGUUAUUUCCGCACAUCUGCCCUUAAAACUCUUUUAACACCAAAGUGGAUACUAAUUUUAUGUCCAUGUAUUUGCAUAUUAUCAUCAAAAUAAGUAGUGGCUCUCUAGAUCUGAGUUUUAAACAAAUUAAGUCAGAACAACCAAAUAAGCAUCUGGGGUUAACUCCUUAUUAUUAAAGCUCACUGGCACAGUACCCGCCAAGUUGUGGUAGGUGAUGGUCUGAUUUUGCUUAGGACUUUAAUCUUUAUCUAAAAAUCCUUUUUUGGAAACAUUUCCUACAUUUCAAAAAAUAUACUUCUGUAUUGCAUUCUGCUCACAACAAAAUACUAACAUAUUGUGGAUUACUGCCUUUAUUGCUUAUACAGUAGUCACACUGGGUUAAAACUUUCCAGUUUAUCAGGUAAACCUACCUAAAACUAAUGAAUUGUAACACAAUGGCCCUGCUAUAAAUCCUACAUUUAUGAUAAAUACAAUGUUCAGUUUUAUUGGAAUCUGAUGUAGAGAAGUAUUGAAUGAACUUUAUGGUCAUUUUGAGGCUGUAGUUUGUGGUGCUGCAAAACAAUAUUACAUAUACUGAGAGGUGUGUAAUAUUUUGUCCACCCUCAUUGACAUAAGCCGGGUAAAGACACCACUCAGUAUUAACUAUGUGUAGCUGAGUAAGGUGAGUGUAGAUAAACUUUUUGGGAGUUGGGGUUGUCUAUGUUGAGUUUCUCUUCUUUGAUAACAUAUUCAUUCAAUAUAUUUAGAAACACCAACAGCCUAGACAAUCAUUUCCACAAUAAAGCAAUCCAUUAAAAAGACUAUACCAGUUGACCUUAGGGUUAGACUGACACUUAACACGCCAUCCCCAACAAAUCUGUGCACAGUGACAAGAAAUAAUUAGCUGCCCAGCUACGAUGGCACAGCUGCCAUCGCCGUUUGCACUCAGUUGACUCUCCAAACUGAAACACCUGCUGGUGACACAACAAGGUAACUGCCUCUGAAGGGACACACUGGCUGUGGAAUACUGAGAUAAUCAAGAUGCCAGCAACCACCGUAGUGCCCAUGAGCACCCAAAUACGACAGCAACAGUUAGUUCAAGCAUGUGAAGUGUUUCAGAUGAUUAAAUUCAGGGUUCUUAGUUGAAUUCUGUGUUAAUGGCAUGUCAAUGAUUUGAUCAAUUCUAAAUGUGUGGACCUGCUAGACUUUUGCAAAAGUGAUACUUGAAAUGAGGUCAAUUAAUUCAUGUUCAGGCAUGUUAGAGCAGUUUUUCUUCAGUUACUUUAAAAACUGUUUGUUGGUGUGUUGUCAUUGCAGAGAACAAUAAAUGCUUUUGGCAACAAGCUAAAAGACUAACUUUGAUACCAAUUGUUGUAUUUCCAUUUGUAUGUGGAGAGUGUUCACAAAGACAAUAUCUACUUUUUUUCUGCAAAGACAAAAAAAAAAUUUGAUGUAUUCAGCUUUUACAUUAGUUAAGUAUGAUUUGUGUUCAUGUUGCAUCAGCCUUUCCUGAUGAAUAUAGAGUAUUUAAGCGAAACAACUGCAGUCAUUAAUAAUAAGCAAUAAUAAGCACAUUUACAUAACUGAAAUAAUAAAUGUCCUUCAGGUAAGAAGUCAGUCUCUGACACCACACCAACACAAAACAUUGUAUUAACUGAAAAUGCUAAAAAAAAAUCUUUUUUAAUUUCACCUCAGAGAGCAGUGAAGAAACAGGUGAUGCUAAAAAACAUCAGUAUGUUGUUACUAUCAACAGUACAGGUGUACAAAUGAUGAUGAUGAUGAUUGUUUUCUAGUUUAAGAAUUAUGUUGCUGUUCAUAUCAAAGAUUCCAAGCAAAUUCCAAGAAUUCUAGACUUAAUAUAAAGCUUUUUUUUUUGCUUUUCUGGUGAAGGAGGUAGACACAACACCAGAAGAAAGAUAAGUGUCAGAGGUGACAUGCAGUCCAAAGCAGUCUCUAGGCAACAAGGAUGAACAGGAAACCGAAGCUAAGGAUUUCAAAACCAAAGAAAGAAAGAAAAGAAAUGUGAGAUAAUGUGAAACAUCAGAGAAAUGAGGGACGACAAAACAAAACAAAUGUUUUCCUUGAUGUAUGAAGAUUUUAGCAAGAGCAACGAGCAGCCUGCAGCUGGACUUGAAACAUCAGUUACAUGGCUAUUUUGCUCUGCUAUGUUCAUGUCACUUUUAAACCUGACACCACCACAUAUGUAUGCCAAAAUGCCAUAGUGAAAUAUGUCAACAUGAUGAUAAUUAUAACUUGAAUAAUAACUCAUCUCAUCCCUC